AAAUGCCUGAGUAGCUAUGUAAAUAGUGGCUUCAAUUGGUGGAGGCGGAAAGAAAAAUGGAGUGAGAAGAGUGAUGACUUUGUUUUUGUUGCUGUUGAGCUUAGGAUAAUGAGAAUUUUUACUUCAAACAAACCUAAACCAGGCUGGGCGCGGUGGCUCACGCCUGUAAUCCCAGCACUUUGGGAGGCCGAGGCCGGCGGAUCACAAGGUCAGGAGAUCAAGACCAUCCUGGCUAACAAGGUGAAACCCCGUCUCUACUAAAAAUACAAAAAAUUAGCUGGGCGUGGCAGCAGGCGCCUAUAGUCCCAGCUACUCGGGAGGCUGAGGCAGGAGAAUGGUAUGAAUCCGGGAGGUGGAGCUUGCAGUGAGCCGAGAUCGCGCCACUGCACUCCAGCCUGGGCAACAGAGCAAGACUCCGUUUCAAAAAAAAAAAAAAAACAAACAAACCUAAACCAAAUGCCAAGUUGUUAUUGCUUUUAUAAAUAUAAAAGAGAAGGACUUUGCAGGAGUAAAAGUCCUAGAGCCUCUUUCUUCACCAAAUCCUGAAUUCCAUGGUAACCUGGGGACUAGGAGACACAAGUAGGGGGCAUUCAUGGGAAGCAGUUGAACCAGCCCAGGAGAAUCCUUCUCUGCAAUCAGGCAUGGCUGGCGAUAAUGGAGACAGGGUGGAAACCACCCUGAGUGAGCCAAGCUGAGUGAGCAGUGCAGAGAGUCAGAACAGGAACGCAGGGAAGGGCUGGCCUGUCCCCAAAUGGAGCUGCGAUUCAGAGCUGAUGAGCAGUCAGCCUGAGUCACAGAGCACAGCUGUGUUCCCAAGGAUUCCCCUAGAAUACAAGAUUUUGAGCUUCUUGCAAGCAGAAAAAAUAUCAGAAUCAUCUGCCUCACAAGUGUCUGGCACAGUGCUUGUCACAUAAAGAUGGCCCACAAAACUUCAAUGACAGAAGAGGGAAAGGAAAGAAGUCUGACAGAUAUCUAACUAUAUCCAAGAAAGACAUGAAAAUUCAUUGAUUUAUAAAUUUGCAUAUAAAAUGUAAAGAAAGAAAAGUAAUAUCCUAUAUCAGAGAUGGCUCUUUGUUUUAGACCUCAUAGAAUUUCAGGCUGCCUUAAAGAUUAUCCUUCCUUAAAGAGAAGAAAGAAAGGAACAGAAAGUUAACGUUAUUCUUUUCGAAUCUACACAAUUAAAGGGUGAAAAAAAUAAGCCUAAAAUGUACAUCCCCAAAUCCAAUGCACUUUCUAUUAUCCUAUAUAUUUACUUUCUCAAAAAUUAAUUUCUCAAUUAUUUAAUUACAAAAAAAAAAGGUUGAAUGCUUAUUUGUUAGGAUUGUUGCAGGUGUUCAAGGAACAAAACAAUUGUAGUACCUGUUCGCAUGGUAUAGACAGACAAUAAACCAACAUAAAUAAUAAAAUGUCAAGUAACUACUAAGAAGAAAAAUAAAGCAAUAUAAAAAUAUAGCUAAUGACUGAGAAGGAGUGCAAUUUUCAGAAGUGCUAGUAAUAAAAGAUUUAUCUGAGGAGAUGAGAUUUGAAUAGAAAACUAAAUUAUGUUUUGAGUUAUUUAAGGAGCACACCGUGAAAGAUGUAACAAGGGAAAGUAAGAAUGAAGGCCCUGAGAUGUGAAUGAUCUUGGUGUGAUCACAGAGUCAUGAAGAAUAGAAAUGAGAACAUAAUGCAAGUGAUUCUGGAACGUGUCAGAUCAUGGAAAGUGUUGGAGACCACUGUAGAGAUUUAGAUACUACACGAAUAUUACAGGUGUUGGAGUAGGAAUUAACUCUGUUAAGAUCAACCUAGGUGUUAGCGGAUUGGAUUGUAAGGGGGCAAGAGAAGGAGUACAGAGACCUGCUAGGAGGCUAUUGCAAGAGUCCAUCUUAGAGAUCAAUUAAUGGGUCAGGAUGGAGAGCUGAGUGCUGGAAAGCAGCCAGAUGUGUGAUGCAUUUUGAAGGUGGAGAUGAGUGACUCUUCUUAGCCUACUUGAAUGGAGGCUGUAGGAAAGGAGAGGAUAAAGAAGAAUUGUUAGGGAUUUACCAGAGAAGCCAAAUGAAGUGGGUGCCAUAUGCUGAGAUGAGGAAGCCCAAAGGAAUAACAGGUUAGGAAUGGAAGGAAAUCAGGAAUUCCACUGGGACAUGUACAGGUUGAGAUGUUUUUUGGACUUUUAAUGUAUAGAUCAUCGUGCCUCUUAUUUCUAUUGCUGCUGAGAGCAGUUCAGUUCUGCGGGUGUUUUUAAAAAUUCACUCCAUGUUAUUGGCCAAUUGACCAGAUAGAUCAAAAACUCAGAAGAGACAAAGCUCGUUUUCCAGAAACACUCUCAACCAGCCAGGUAAACAAUACACAUUCAAAGCCAAGUACCAAAUCAAUGUUUAUGAAUUAGCUAAACCUCAGAUAAUGUCAAUGUAACGCCACAAUAAAAAACACAUCUUAAUAUUUGCCUCUGCUUUCCCUUAAACUGUAUUCAUAAGGAUAUUUCCCUGCCCCUAAAUGAAGAUUCAGGCAAGUUCAAAACUUUUCUGGUUAAUCUUAGAUAGUACUUCAGACAAAUUUUAGUCAUACAAACAAUCUCUAUUUAGAAAAUAAAAUGUUCAGAUGCAUGCAAUGAUCACAAUUCUGAACUUAGCUUGAAAUUUCUUAGCUCAGAUCUUCUGUGGUUACUUUUUUGCUCAGCACCAAGGACCAACCAGAGGAAAGAGGAGGAGCUGUAAGGAAAUGUAG
rnacentral:lncRNA from 1 species